rnacentral:rRNA from 1 species
CCUACGGGGGGCAGCAGUGGGGAAUAUUGGACAAUGGGGGGAACCCUGAUCCAGCCAUGCCGCGUGUGUGAAGAAGGCCCUCGGGUUGUAAAGCACUUUCAGUGAGGAAGAACGCCUGGUGGUUAAUACCCAUCAGGAAAGACAUCACUCACAGAAGAGGCACCGGCUAACUCCGUGCCAGCAGCCGCGGUAAUACGGAGGGUGCGAGCGUUAAUCGGAAUUACUGGGCGUAAAGCGCGCGUAGGUGGCUUGAUAAGCCGGUUGUGAAAGCCCCGGGCUCAACCUGGGAACGGCAUCCGGAACUGUCAAGCUAGAGUGCAGGAGAGGAAGGUAGAAUUCCCGGUGUAGCGGUGAAAUGCGUAGAGAUCGGGAGGAAUACCAGUGGCGAAGGCGGCCUUCUGGACUGACACUGACACUGAGGUGCGAAAGCGUGGGUAGCAAACAGGAUUAGAUACCCUGGUAGUC